rnacentral:rRNA from 1 species
UACGUAGGGUGCAAGCGUUAAUCGGAAUUACUGGGCGUAAAGCGUGCGCAGGCGGUCCGCUAAGACAGAUGUGAAAUCCCCGGGCUUAACCUGGGAACUGCAUUUGUGACUGGCGGGCUAGAGUAUGGCAGAGGGGGGUAGAAUUCCACGUGUAGCAGUGAAAUGCGUAGAGAUGUGGAGGAAUACCGAUGGCGAAGGCAGCCCCCUGGGCCAAUACUGACGCUCAUGCACGGAAGCGUGGGGAGCAAACAGG